rnacentral:rRNA from 1 species
AGGAUGAACGCUGGCGGCGUGCCUAACACAUGCAAGUCGAACGUGAUUUUUACUUCGGUAGAAUGAAAGUGGCGAACGGGUGAGUAACACGUUGGUGACCUGCCCCGAAGAGGGGGAUAACUCUGGGAAACCAGAGCUAAAACCCCAGAUGUUUAAGGGAUUAGAGGCCUUAAACUAAAACUGAGGUGCUUUGGGAGGGGCCUGCGGGCUAUCAGCUAGUUGGUGGGGUAACGGCCUACCAAGGCGAAGACGGCUAGGGGGCGUGAGAGCGUGACCCCCCACAAUGGAACUGAGAAACGGUCCAUACUCCUACGGGAGGCAGCAGUGAGGAAUAUUGCACAAUGGGCGCAAGCCUGAUGCAGCAACGCCGCGUGGAUGAUGAAGGCCUUCGGGUUGUAAAAUCCUUUUCUGGGGAAAGAUAAUGACGGUACCCCAGGAAUAAGUUCCGGCUAACUACGUGCCAGCAGCCGCGGUAAAACGUAGGGGACGAGCGUUAUCCGGAUUUACUGGGCGUAAAGCGCAUGUAGGUGGCUUGAAAAGUUGGACGUGAAAGCUCCUGGCUUAACUGGGAGAGGUCGUACAAAACUAGCAAGCUUGAGGUUGGAAGAGGAGAGCAGAAUUCCCGGUGUAGUGGUGGAAUGCGUAGAUAUCGGGAGGAAUACCAGUGGCGAAAGCGGCUCUCUGGUUCAAUACUGACACUGAGAUGCGAAAGCGUGGGGAGCGAACGGGAUUAGAUACCCCGGUAGUCCACGCUGUAAACGAUGGAUACUAGGUGUAGGAGGUCAUUAACCCCUUCUGUGCCGAAGCUAACGCGUUAAGUAUCCCG